rnacentral:lncRNA from 1 species
AUGGAGGAGCUCCUGGUGGAUCAGAGUUUGAUGAGUUUAUCAGCUGUUAAGGAACUGAACCAGACUCUGAGGGCCUCAGUGGAGACGCAGCGAGCUCUGGCUGAUCAGGUGGAGGGGAUGAAGGAGUCUGGCGUGUUCCUCAGCGGCUUGGUGCAGGACCUGGCAGGGCUGCAUGACGUCGCUGUGCAGGGUCUGACAGCUCUGCAGAGUGAACACGACCAGCUGGCCGAGCAGAUCAGACGAGCUCAGGAGAGACAUGAGACGGUGAGACCUGCCCUGAGAGGAGUCAGACAUGAGCUUCCGUGUGAACACGCCUGUAAAGGUCAGCACAAAAGUUUCCAGUCGAUUUGGUCUAAACUUAGUCCUUAUUGCAGGGUAUGAAGCGAACCAUGGACCAAAUCAACCUGCUGCUCCUGGAGGCUCAGAAGAACUACGCUGAUCUGCACACGAGCGCUACAGCUCUACAGAAACCUGUGCAGAGCACCCAGCACCACCUCAGCAGGUGAGCAGCAUAGCACCAGUUUGAAAUGCAGGAAGUGAAUUAUCCAGCUCUCCAUCGAGACGCCUGCUUAUUUGUGACUCAUGCAGCGGCCUCAGCACAGCCAAGCAUCAGGCCUCGACGCAGGCGGACCUCCUCUCCUCCACCUUCUCCUACCUCUCUUCCUCACUGCGUCUGAACGCUGACGAGAGCCGCCAGACGCUGGAGGAGAUGGCCGGCAGCACCUCCUACCUCCACAGCACCGUGUCCGGUACAACAACCCAUCUCUCUCUUUGCAUUCAAAGCUCAGUCCGUGCUUGGUAAUAACGAGGCAUCAUCACUGCAGUUCUGGUGGAGCGUGAGAGCGUCAGCUCUGCUGAGAAGGACGGCGGUAGAGAACCUGAUGUAGAGAACGUCAUAUCCCCCCCUUCUACAUAUUCACCACCCGCUCAGAAGAACAAAACCACAAGGUCAUUAUCUUACUAAGAAGUAUUUUACAUUAAAUAAAUAUAAAAUGAUAAAUAUUUUAUCA